AAAAAAAUACAAAGGCAACGCAAUGACUGUGAUUGGCUUACUCAGUCAUAUUCUGGGUUGCGUCAGAUGGUCGCCACGGGGUGUUUAUAACAAAAACAGCGAGAUCAAUGCAGAUCGAUUUGUGAUCAAUCAGUGAGCAGUUUGUUCUGAUUAUUCACAAAUCCGUUGAACUGUUUUCAGAAGUGUCAACUAUAGAUAAGUGUUCCGAUAUUCACAAGAAAACCCUUCUGAUUCUGAACCCAUAUCUGAUAUCGGCACAUUCUUACUUAUGUUAAUUAAGUGAUCUGGUCACAGCCUUCCUCAGACCAAAGCAGCCAUUUCCACACCAAAAGGAUUCCUCAACCCUGGAUAAAGACUAAAUUAAAACAUCAAACCCAUCACAUAGACUUUAGAACUCAACAAAGAUGGGACUACUCAGAGCCGGAUUAACGCAAAGGCAAAGUAGGCACGUGCCUAGGGCCUGAUUGGCUGGAUGGGGCCCAGACAGAGGAACAAAAUUAUAAAUAAAUAAAUUAAAAAUUAAAUGUACACAUGUCCUAUGAUAGAAUUUGUAGCUAGGACUCCUAUCUACAAUUUGUUUCAAUAUUUAUUAAUUAACUAAAAAUAGUGACAAUGUUUAUCUUAACCAUAGACCGUUUCAUUGGCUACGUCACAUUAAACCUCUGGGGUCCACGGACGAGUAUACGCGUCUUUUGAACAGGUCUGAUUUGGGACGCUGUAGCAGCAAGACUCCGCCUCCCUGAGUUUCGGUUUCAAUUCAGCUUUAAAAAGCAGAUUAUAAACUACACCCCAGUUUUUAAAUUUUGUUAAUAGGCAACGUAAAAGCGGAGUUAUACUAAACUAAAAAAUGACCUAUUUUUAGACAAUCUGAUAACUUGUCAAAACAGCGGUUUAGUAAUCUGUGAGCGGGAAUGUGCUUGUGAACAUUAAAAACCCACAAAAACACGAGAUCCUUUUGCUGUUGGUGGACGUCUCACAUAUUCAGCUGAUAAAAAGUAUCACACGAGUAACGAGAUGUGCGCAAAAAGGAGCCGCUUCGCGGGGAAAGGAGUGGCGCGAACGGAGUAACAACAAACAAUUAGACAGAUAUUGACGGUAAACUUUGUAUUUUAGAGCGAUCCGGACAGAUAUAUUGUCUCUGCAGUUUAGUAGGCAUUUAUUAGGCUUUAAUAAAGGAUGAUGAGAAGGAUAAAUGUCCACCAGGCAGUUCAGAUAGUACGGCUGUUUUUUGAACUGGAAGCAGAGGAAGUGGACGGAGACUCGCAGCCGGAGUCUGAGGCAAAUAGCGAGGAUGAUGAUGAUGAUGUGGCAGAUCCAUCCUUCCUCAUAGAAGAGUUGGGUCAUGAUGAGGUAGAGGAUGAAGGCAGAGAUCCAGCUCCUCGGAAAUCCAUCAAGAGGAGUGGGCGGCGCCGCGCAGCUGUCAGACCUCGGCGUGAGACGGAGCCACUCCCCACUCCAAAAUCCAUGUACAUUAUUGCCAAAUUAAUAAAAUAAGUAUAAAUUCAGAUAGUCCAGGUUGACUUGAAAUUAAUGAUACCCCAUAAGGCAAUAUUUAUUGUUUUUAUUAGAAAAUACAAAAGAAAAACCAAAAUGAGUCAAAAACGGUGAUUUACACUCUGGAUCCCAGAGAGCUAAUAACUUUUUUAAUUAGUUAUUUGCUAUAUUUAGUCAUAUUUUUUAUAAAUGUACAGUCUAGAUUACCAGUCUAAAUGAUAAAAAACAUUUGUCAUAAAUGUUUGUUGGUUUCACAGCAAAAUAAACAACUUUUUUCCUAUUCAGAUUUUAUGUUUUUGAGUGAUUUAAGGUCUAAUACGCAACCCCUUUAUGUCCAAAUAUACAAAAUAAGUAUAGAUUCAUAAAGUCCAGGUUGUGCUGAAAAGAUUGAUACCACAUAAGGCAGUGAUUAUGGUUUUUAUUUUGGAAAUACAAAGGAAAACUCACUGCAAAUUACACCCUGGACCCCAGAGGGUUAAGGCGCCACCCAAUGAAGGACGUCAGAGAAGCGGUCAGAGUCAGAGCGGGACACAACAAAGCUAGCAGGUGUUUUUGAGUAGGCUAACUUUCACGAUGCUUUCGGGUGCGGCAAAACGUAACAAAGAAAAAUAUUUAAAUGAAGAGGAACUAAAGAAGAGACAGCGGGGGGCUUUACAGAAGUUUCUGUCGGGCUGCUCGGGCAGCCGUCCGACAGCUGUGAACAUGCUCGAGUCAGCAGAGCCAGAGGCCGGGCCCGAGCAAGACCCGGAGGAAACACAACCCGAAGACGCGGUGGAAGAUGUGGCGGAAGAUGCUGUAGCGCCAACGCCGUCAACAUCAGCGCCUUCACAGAAGGACAAACUGGAAGAACAGCAGCCAGCCAGAAGUGAGCCCAAUAUAGUCUUACAGGAGCCCCUAGACCCCGACAGGGUAUUAACAACUAGCUACCCAUCUGAUCCUGCAAAGUGGUACCAAACUGAUGAGUACUUUGCACUAAACUAUCCCUCUCAAAAUAUUGGAUAUUCUUCUGCAUCACAGAGGAAAUCUGGAGACAUAGACUGAAGCUUAACCAAGGAACAUUUCUUUAGACGUGUUUCUGCUGUGAUUGAGGCCCUGUGAUGCUGGAAGGCUGAAGAUUAUCCCGGAGUAGAGAAUGCUAAAUGGUUUCCUUGGGGCCGGGCCGAGGAGGAGGCAGAUUGGAUCCAUCGUGCGGCGAUCCUGUGGUUCCCAGACUACAACACCGGCCUUGGAGAUUCCAUGGUCGAGAGCUCAGCAGGGCCGGACUGAACCCCCUUGUCCCUUGGGGCCCUGCGCACACUCGAUUGAAUGUUUUUUUUUUCCCUUGGCAUCAUCAUCAGGGUUUUGUAAUGUCCCUUUUUAAUUUGCUUUGGCUGUCGCACUGCUUGCCUUGUUUUUUUAGAACCUAUUUUAAUCCUUUUAAUAUUAGUGGCACCUUCCAUUCCACCUGGAUCGUGUCACAGAUACAUAACCCAAAGCAAUAUUACAAUAACAUAAACUCGUACACAAAACGCUCCUCUUGAUAGAGCAAAUCUGUUCAGCACAUUCUGACAGACAGAAACAACUUGGCAUAAAUGAUACUUCCUUUUUUGUCUCAACCAAAGAAAUUCCAGUAAUUGAGCAAAAACAUUUAUUUUUUUACGUCACUUUUUAUAAAAUAACAGGACACAAAGUGUCGGGACAUUUAAAAAAUACUUAAAAUAAUAAAAGUGGCCCAGAGAGCUGCAGAGUGAGUGGAACAUUGGGUUGUGAAGGAAGAACAGUUCUCAACAGUGUGAUAUGAGGGUGUAGAACACAUAUGUCAGACUCAAGGCCCGCGGGCCAGAUGCGGCCCGCGGAGCAUUUUUAUGUGGCCCGCGAGAUAAAUAUCAAAAUAUAUUAAAACUGGCCCGCUGGCUGAUUUUACAGCAAAGACUUCAACUCCCAUGAUGCUUUGCGGCAUCAGCGCGGAGCCGACGGCCCCCCUCCUUUGUGUUUUUUCCAGCGCCUGCUGCCGGUGUCUGCAGCUCCGCUGUCUCGGACAAACUAAACACUCCUCUCACUCAGCGCCGAGUUCACUCAGCUGUUUUCUGACAUUGAAGCCCAGAAACGGAGAUUCUAGCCGCUCAGUAAUGUGUUCACGACUGAAAGAGAAAGUUUUCCAACUAACGUCCACACAGGGCUGAUAUAACUCCAGCAAACAGCGACACGCUCAAACCAGCACGACUCUGUGGUUGUCAUUGUGUUUCCUCCCCGACACACAACAACGUGGUCAAGCUGCUCAGACAUGUUCAGCAGCACAAACCUAUGUGAGCACCUGUUGUCAUCUAAUGUUGUCAUUAUUAUGAUGAAGAUGAACAAAACAACAGGAGUCUCCUCCUCAGCUCAGAUCAGCCCCAUGAUGCAGGUAUCUGGCUGGAACAGGUGAGCAUCACAGUAAACCAGUGGAGCAAACUGAGCUUUAAAUAUGUUGGUUUUAUGCUCUUUUUCUGCUCCAAAACAUGAAAGUUAACAGGUGAGAUGUUGCAUUUUCAUUUAAGAUAAAAUGAUAUUUUUAUUUUGUUGUUGGCCUGUGAGAAAAGAAUUAACCUACAGUAAACAGGAAGUGGAAAGGCUGCAGAUAGAUGAAUAGAAUAGAAAAUCCCUUUAUUGUACCUCAGUGGGGAAAGCUAGACGUCACAGCAGCGAUGACACGUAUUACAGGAGAAAACAAGGAGAAUAAAAAAUAAGAAAAAUGAAUAAACAAGAAAACAUAAAUCCUGAAUAGAUUUUAAAAAUGCUGAUUAUACCACAAGUAAUGAAUACCACUGAUGCCUUUUAUAUAAAACUGACUUGCUCGUGUGUAAUUUGGUUAUUCCACAUUCAGUGUUAAUGCAGAAAUAAGUUUGUUUCCAAAUUUAAAGGUUCAAAAUUGCAUAUAUGUUGAUAAAGAAAAUGUCCAAAUUUGCCGUCACUUUUUCAAAAAAUAUUAAGUUUGGCCCUCGACUCCGUCCCAGAGUUUCAUUUCGGCCCCGUGUGAGUUUGAGUUUGACACCCCUGCUGUAGAAGGUGAAGCCGGUGCAGGUCCUCCUUCAUGUUCACCAGAUUCACACUGCAGAUCAGGAGCUGCUCUUCCAUGCAUGGAGUUGAAAAAGAAGGGGAGAAGGUCUUUCCACCUUAGUCCCCCCCCCAACCGAACCAGGAGACACAGACGUCAGGGAGGCCAAGGUUGUGUCUGAGGGUCUCUGCAGCUUUCUGGGCACCACGCCUCACUCAGCUGUCACCGAUGAUCCAAAUGGCUAUGGAGAAAAAAAAACAGGUUUGGCCUAGCUGUUUAAAGUACAAAACCAUACAUGAAGUGGUCAAGACAGGUACUUGGUACUUACACUUGCUGCGUUGUGUAGCUGAUGUUGGAGACACACAGGCUGCCAUGGUGACCUUUUAACAGAUCUAAGAAAAAAAUUUAAUAAAAGAAUGAAACUUAAAAACUCCCAGACCUCAUGUCAUAUUUACUAAUCAGCUAUGGCUUAUCUAUUGUUUGGAUCACAGUGAGUUACACUAAUUCUAAUAUAUUUUUAUUUCUAUUACACAUACAUACUUUUUAACUGUUAUUUUCACAUGACUGUUAUCAGGCUGUCUUGUUCUGGUUCUCAUGAUAAUAAUUCUGUUUCUUCCAGUAAGUUAUCUUGUGCUUACUUCAUCUGUAUAAUGUCUCUUUACUCUUGGUGAAUUGUACUGAGUCCAGAAUAAAGGCUACUUGGCUGUACAA